UCGGAACAAAAAUCUAAGUGACAGGAGUAGACGUUUAAAUGACAAGGAAUCAUACCAAACGUUUACAAAUAUCAGAGCUAUUUUACAACUGAAAUAAUUAUUAUAAUGAAAAGAAAAUUACAACUCAAACUUGAACUAAUAUUUACAAUGUGCGGUCGAAAUUGGGCAAACUGAGGUUACGAUUGUAUCAAAGGACUAAGUAAAGCUGCGGUCAUUGACAUUCUCCCCCAUUUGUUUUGGCGACGUCCUCGUUGCUGCGGUCAUGAUAUGCUUCAAUUAACGGUUUGAAGGCUCCAAGAUCCUUUUCUCUUUUCCAAGUAUUCUCCUCGCUGCUGAAUCCAAUACAUUUGACCAAGUACUCUUGAUGAUCUUUUCUAGAAGCUCGAGUGAUUCGAUGGUCAAGAAUAGCUUCAGCAACCUUCUUUCCAGCUUUCUUCAGUUCAAACACAGGUCGCUUUGGCUCAUUUCUAGAUGCGUCCUCCUUAUCUGCAAAGUAUGGCUUCAGCAUACUAACAUGAAGAACUUUGUGAAUUUUACACCAUGAAGGGAGUUCAACUCUGUAAGCGACUCUUCCAAUUAUCUUCAAGAUGGGUAAUGGUCCAAUAUAUUUUGGCACCAAUCUUGAGUCCUUCCUUCUUAUCGGUUUACAAACAUUUCUGGUGGGAAGUUUAACUAUUACCAGAUCUCCAACAUUGAAUUUAAGGAAACGACGCUUUAGAUCUGCAAACUUCUUAUGCCGUUUUUGAGCUUUUUCGAGAUAACUCCAAGCAAUUUCAAUAUUUCGUUUACACUCUUGAGAAAAAAUUUCCACUUGAGGAGACUUGGUACUUUGUUCGAUGUCCACUGUAUGAGGGAGUAGCGGUUACUGGCCAGUAACAAUUUUAAAAGGACUCUUAUUGGUGGAAGAGCUCUUUUGGGCAUUGAAGCAAAUUUGAGCAACAUUCUAAUUUUUCUGCGAAGUAGAGAUAAAGUGUCGAAGACAUUCUUCUAGUAUAGAAUUGAAGAGCUCCGUCUGUCCAUCAGAUUGUAGGUGAAAACUAGAACUCAUGCUCAAAGUUGAACCAAGAAGUUUGAACAACUCAGUCCAAAAUAUGCCAGUGAAAUGAGGAUCUCGAUCACUGACGAUGUCCUUAGAAAGUCCCCAGUAUUUGACAAUAUGUUUGAAGAAGAGUUGAGUUGUCUCUUCCGCUGAUACAUACUUAGAUGCUGAGAUGAAAGUUGCGUACUUUUAUAGACGGUCCACCACGACGAUGAUAGUAUCAAAAUCCUCAACUUUUGGCAACCCAAUAAUGUAGUCCAUCAAUACACUUUCGAAUGGUCGAGUUGGAACGAAAAGGGGCUCCAACAAGCCUGCCUUUUUCUGAUGAUCUGCCUUAUCUUGCUGACAAAUAAAACAGAUUUUUACAUAAGUUGUAAUGUCGUCCCGUUUGAGACAAUUAGUAUGCACAUUGCAGUAGUGCAGAAGUGCAUUUCUCUUCCGG
rnacentral:lncRNA from 1 species